rnacentral:rRNA from 1 species
GAUGAACGCUAGCGGCAGGCUUAACACAUACAAGUCGAGGGGCAGCAUGAGACGGAGAUUCGUCGAGGUCUUGAUGGCGACCGGCGCAAGGGUGCGUAACGCGUGAGCAACUUGCCCGUUUCUAGGGCAUAACCGGUGGAAACGCCGACUAAUUCCCAUAGAAUUGGAUUUAGGCAUCUUUAUCCAAUUAAAGAAUUUCGGAAACGGAUAGGCUCGCGUGACAUUAGCUAGAUGGCGGGGUAACGGCCCACCAUGGCUACGAUGUCUAGGGGUUCUGAGAGGAAGGUCCCCCACACUGGAACUGAGACACGGUCCAG